ACAAACAUUAACAACUACAGGUCACUGUACGGCCUUCAACAAUGAGCAAAGCCCAUACCGCAUAGUCAGCUUGAUCAUUUGUACAAACAUGCAUGUACAUUGUACUGCUUCAUUUAUACAUUCCUUAUCUAUGUGCUAUCAAAAUGAAAAACAUUUUUGUAACAGAAAUUUAUAUUUUAUUUUUUAGAGAAACCAUCCUUGUUAAAGAUGUGACAUUAAUCCCUCCAAACCUACAAAACACAAUUGAUUAGAGAUGCUAGUUAACCUUGUUAAUGGCUUUGGAGAACUUAUCGUACAUUUACCUAAUACACAGACAAACACAGAUGGGCAAAGAAAUUAGCCUGUGAGAUCAAGAUGCAGAUAUAUCCACCAGAUACUAAAUACCACACCAAAGCAGACAUUUUCAAAUGUUGAGGAACCUAUGAAUACAUCUACAUCCUUCAUUGCAAUGGACUUUGAAACAAUUGAUUGAUUAGACAAGAUGUUAUCUCUCAUAUCAAAGAGAUAUAAUAUGAAACUGGCAGCCAGUAUUGAUAUAUUGUGGUACUAAAAGCUCCAAUACCAUGAGGGGCUGAAGACAUAACAGGAAUUGUGUGGGAUUUGACCAACCUUGGACUAAAGAGAAAAGUUGUUGCUGCAUUACAGAUAUUUGAACUCAGCAUUUUUUAUUAAUGUUUUUAAUGUUAAUUCUCUCCCUUGUGAAUAAUAUGAUAUCUAUUGUUGCAAUGAGCAUGAAUUGAAAGUUCCUCAUGUCUGUAAAACUGUUUUCCCUUGACAUUGACCACAUUUCAUGGAUCUGUGAAAAAAGUUAUGGUCAAGUCCAUGUAUCAGAUUCAAAUAGCAAUAGGUCUGCUGAAUUUGGUAUACUUAUGAUUGAUCCUGAUCUCAUUGUCAUGGUUUAUUGAUCAAUGUUAAUAUUCAAAAGAUUUAAUAUUGAUUUUACAUUGUAUAUAUA